GUGUCAGCAGCCGCGGUAAUACAGGGGGUGCAAGCGUUGCUCGGAAUUACUGGGCGUAAAGCGUGCGCAGGCGGUCCUGCAAGUCGGGGGUGAAAACCCGGGGCUCAACCCCGGAAUUGCCUCCGAAACUGCCGGACUUGAGUACGAGAGAGGGUUGCGGAAUUCUUGGUGUAGAGGUGAAAUUCGUAGAUAUCAGGAAGAACACCAGUGGCGAAAGCGGCAACCUGGCUCGAUACUGACGCUCAUGCACGAAAGCGUGGGGAGCAAACAGGAUUAGAUACCCUGGUAGUCCACGCCGUAAACGAUGAGUGCUAGCUGCUGGACAUGUCUACCAUUUCAGUGGCGUCGCUAACGCAUUAAGCACUCCGCCUGGGAAGUACGGUCGCAAGACUAAA
rnacentral:rRNA from 1 species